rnacentral:rRNA from 1 species
CCUACGUGAGGCAGCAGUGAGGAAUAUUGGUCAAUGGGCGCGAGCCUGAACCAGCCAAGUAGCGUGAAGGAUGACUGCCCUACGGGUUGUAAACUUCUUUUAUAAAGGAAUAAAGUGAGGCACGUGUGCCUUUUUGUAUGUACUUUAUGAAUAAGGAUCGGCUAACUCCGUGCCAGCAGCCGCGGUAAUACGGAGGAUCCGAGCGUUAUCCGGAUUUAUUGGGUUUAAAGGGAGCGUAGUUGGGUUGUUAAGUCAGUUGUGAAAGUUUGCGGCUCAACCGUAAAAUUGCAAUUGAUACUGGCAGUCUUGAGUACAGUAGAGGUAGGCGGAAUUCGUGGUGUAGCGGUGAAAUGCUUAGAUAUCACGAAGAACUCCGAUUGCGAAGGCAGCUUACUAAACUGCCACUGACAUUGAUGCUCGAAAGUGUGGGUAUCAAACAGGAUUAGAUACCCUAGUAGUC